ACACGAGAGCGGACGGCUGAGUAACGCGUGGGAACGCACCCUACACUGAGGGAUAAGAUACCGAAAGGUGUUCUAAUACCGCAUACGGUCUUCGGAUUAAAGUCUUCGGACGGUGAAGGAGCGGCCCGCGUCAUAUUAGGUAGUUGGUGGGGGUAAUGGCCUACCAAGCCGAUGAUGUGUAGCUGGUCUGAGAGGAUGAUCAGCCAGACUGGAACUGAGAACGGUCCAGACUCCUACGGGAGGCAGCAGGG
rnacentral:rRNA from 1 species